AAAAAAAAAAAAAAAAGUACCAAAGCUGAGGCUCAUCCUCGCACCUGCCUGCCCUUUGCCAGCAGGCGGCGCCCGGGAACGUGCAUUUCAAAGGGGCCGCGGUUCCUGCGAUGCGCUGGACUCCGGGAAGCGCGAACCGAGCGUUUUGCGGUCCCUGUGGGGAGAGCUGGUGCCGGCGUCGCCCUGUGGCGGGACUGUGCGCGGAGCCCGUGCUGCUGUCCUGCCCCGCCGCCCUGCCGCCCCGCCAAAUCGCCGCCUGCGUAGCCAUUCCGAGGCCGGCCUCCGGGGGAGUGGCAGUGUCGAUCCCGGCCCCCAGAAUUCGAGGUGUGCGGCUGCUUUCAAAACUUGAUAACUUUCCUUUUCAGGAGGACCCCGUUCUGGAGCGUUAUUUCAAAGGUCACAAAGCUGCGCUCACCUCCUUGGACUUCAGCUCCAACGGCAAGCAACUCGCUACUGCUUCUUGGGAUACCUUUCUCAUGCUAUGGAAUUUCAAGCCACAUGCUAGAGCUUACAGAUAUGUGGGUCACAAGGAUGUUGUAACCAGCGUACAGUUUUCUCCACACGGAAACUUAUUGGCAUCUGCCUCACGAGACAGAACCGUGAGACUCUGGAUUCCUGAUAAGAGAGGAAAGUUCUCAGAAUUUAAAGCUCAUACAGCUCCAGUUCGAAGUGUAGACUUUUCAGCUGAUGGCCAGUUUCUAGCUACAGCUUCUGAGGACAAAUCCAUAAAAGUAUGGAACAUGUAUCGCCAGCGCUUCCUGUAUUCCUUAUAUCGACAUACACACUGGGUACGCUGUGCCAAAUUUUCACCUGAUGGAAGACUAAUUGUGUCAUGUAGUGAGGAUAAAACUAUUAAAAUUUGGGACACCACAAAUAAGCAAUGUGUUAAUAACUUCUCAGAUUUCAUUGGAUUUGCAAAUUUUGUGGACUUUAACCCUAGUGGUACAUGCAUAGCUUCAGCAGGUUCUGAUCAAACCGUGAAAGUCUGGGACAUAAGAGUGAACAAAUUACUACAGCAUUAUCAAGUUCACAGCAGUGGAGUUAAUUGCAUAUCAUUCCAUCCUUCGGGUAACUAUCUCAUCACAGCUUCUUCAGAUGGUACCCUUAAGAUUCUGGACCUCUUAGAAGGAAGGCUCAUCUAUACACUUCAAGGACAUACGGGGCCUGUCUUUACUGUUUCAUUUUCAAAAGGUGGAGAGCUGUUCGCAUCAGGAGGUGCAGACACACAGGUCUUAUUAUGGAGGACUAACUUUGAUGAAUUGCACUGUAAAGGUCUUAAUAAAAGAAAUCUCAAAAGAUUGCAUUUUGAUUCACCACCUCAUCUUCUUGAUGUCUACCCAAGAACACCACAUCCCCAUGAGGAAAAAGUUGAGACUGUUGAAAUUAAUCCAAAGCUUGAGGUAAUCGAUUUGCAGAUCUCUACUCCCCCUGUUGUGGAUAUCCUUUCUUUUGAUUCUACCACAAUUGUUCAUUGCCAUAUGGAGGACUUUCUGUUUUUCUACUGUGACAACAGAAACCAGUGGUAGAACUCUGCCAGACAAGGGUGAAGAGGUCUGUGGAUAUUUCUUGAACCCCUCCUUAUUGUCACCAGAAUGUUCACCAACAACCACAAAAAAGAAAACAGAAGACAUGAGUGAUCUCCCCUCCGAAAGUCAAAGGAGCAUACCUCUUGCUGUGACUGAUGCUUUAGAGCAUAUUAUGGAACAACUCAAUGUUUUGACGCAGACUGUUUCAAUCUUGGAGCAGCGACUGACUUUGACAGAGGAUAAACUGAAAGACUGCCUUGAAAAUCAGCAAAAGCUUUUCAGUGCUGUUCAACAGAAAAGCUGAAUAAAAAAUUCAUUUUCAUUUGUUGGGCAGAGGCACAAUAAAUGAACAAAUGUACGUAGGAAGGCAGUGCAAGAUACUCCACGCAACACAACCACGUGCUUUUUAUUCCACAGCAAGAAUACACUUACCGUGGCAUUUCUUAAAAGGGUGAGCAACAGAACAAAAGGUAGUAAAGGCAUAUUUAAGGACUAAUUUAAAUACACAAAUCAAUGUGAAGGACUAAUUUACAUUACUGUCAUUUAUGAUUGCAGUAAUAAAGUGAUAAGCAUUCAAGCAACUGUAUUUUCCCCAUAUUAUUUCUAAGUGUCCAUUUUCAUUUCUAGGCCAAAUCCUGCCAGGAGAGUAACCAAAUCUCUAGAUUUCACUGUUAAAUCAUUUUGGAUUCACCACAUUCAGACAGUCAUGGGGUGAAAUAAUUCACUUCCCUGUAAAAUAGCAUCCUGUAUGCAAAGAAUGAGUUAUUGAUCUGACUUUUUAUAUUUCUUUCUGUUCAAAAAAAUUAUCCUUACUAAUGCCUUGAAAAGAUGAAUAAAAAUUCCCAGACCACAGAAUUUCCACAGCAAGAAUACAGUUAUUUUAAUUAACAACAGCAUAGAUAUGUCAUAGGGUUGUUUUACUUAAUUUAUGGUGUACUUUGCUUAUCCAUUGGCCAACUGGAAGGAAAUGAAACACACCUUUCUAUCACAGAUGAAUGUGCUGAAUGAUUUGGGUUGUAUCUGAUCAUGGUUCACAAAAAUUGUGUUAGUGUGAUUUCAGUAUGCCAAAAAGCCAGAGUGAUGCAACAGUGACAUUUAAAAAUAUGCACACAUGUAUGUACACACGCUUCAGAAAUGUUGUUGCUUAGGGUGCUUUGGGCAGCUAAAUAGUAAGUACUUUUUAAAUUUUAGCAUCAUCAUCUUCCUAUUUAAUGAAUUGUGAUUUAAAACAAAAUGAAAAUGAGCCAGAUAUUCUAAAAGAUCCUGGUUACAAAUUAAGAAUUUAAUUUUAUUUUAAACCAAAUUGAGAUUAAAUUGGAGAAAAGCAAGCAAAUUAAUUUCAGCUUGAUUAUCAACCUGUAUCAAGAACAAAGAUGGAAGGAGGUGUCCCCAUUUAUGGUGUGUAUAGGUAACAUAGGGAAAAUACUAUUCUGUGUUUUGGAAGAGAAGAAAUAGUGCCUUCCUAUUUAUUUCUAUAUCUAGAAAUUUUUCUCAAAUUUCAGUUGUAUCUAUGAGAUGGGUUUCUAAGUAUCUUAUUGUGUGUUAUAAGUGCCUUUUCAUAUCAUACUAAGUGUGAGCUUCUGGACAUUUUCAAGAGCUUACAAAGACUAAGUGACUAUUUUUAUAACCUCAUUGAGAAGACUAAGAAACAAAUGAAAUGUCCUAUCAAUUUUGUUUACUUCGUCAUGCUUCAAACAAUAAAGACAUUUUUGCUUUAAAAGCAAAA